rnacentral:rRNA from 1 species
UCCGUAGGCGGGCUAAUAAGUCAGGGGUGAAAUCCAACAGCUUAACUGUCGAACUGCCUUUGAUACUGUUAGUCCUGAAUUAUAUGGAAGUAGAUAGAAUGUGUAGUGUAGCGGUGAAAUGCUUAGAGAUUACACAGAAUACCGAUUGCGAAGGCAGUCUACUACGUAUAUAUUGACGCUAAUGGACGAAAGCGUGGGGAGCGAACAGGAUUAGAUACCCUGGUAGUCC